UUCAGAGAAAGAUAAUGUAUAAAAAUAUUUUCGUCGCCUUUUUCUAAUUUUUAUUAUAAUAAUAUUGAUAAAGUUCUUAUUACUCUAAAUUUUGGAGCCAUAAGGAUAUAUAAAUGUGACUGAAUUAAAAGAACUCUUGUGCUGAAAGUUUUUAAAGCUGGUUAAACCAUUUUUAUCAUUUUUUCAGUCAAUAUAUCGUAAAUCGAUAUCGUAUUUCUUUCUUUCCUUUACUGAUAAGCCUCACAUGAAGAAUUUGUUAGCAUUGUUGGCUGUUAAUAAGUUAAUAUUUAUGUAAAUUUUUUAAGUCAGACUAAACUGAAUUGCUAUUUGCAUGGGACUUGCUGUUCUAAAUUUUUGAUUUACCACAAUUUCUUAAAAAUGGUGUGGAAUGAUCUAAGGCCCAAAUAUUUCUGCUGAUGAGUUCUACUGCUGUUUUCUUCCUUUUCUUCAAAUUAGUUGCUACUUUUACCUUGUGGAAUAAUAUUUUUAAUUCACAUGUGUUUCAACCUGUAUAAUUUUUAAUUCUAUUAUGUAUUCUGUGUAAAACAUAUUGAACUAGUUGAAUUACUGUUGGAAUGUAAAUCUUGGUUUCAACAAAAAUAGUAUACCUAACACAAACAAGGUGCUGCUAUGAUUAUUUUAUUUAUUUUGAUUUAUUGGAUUAAUGAUAGGUUAAAUUUGAGGAAGAUCAUUUUCAAUUAUCAAUUUAUUCUAAUUCCAAAAUAUUAUUUAAAAUAUCUUAUUGAGUUUAAUAUUAUUAUGAGCAUUUGCAUUAUGAUAUAAGUUUGAAGAAUUAUAAUCCAAAACAUCCAAUUACCAUUUAAUGCCUUUUGCUUAGAAUGCUUUUAACUGGAAAUUUUCCUAAUUGUAUCUGAAACUUAGAACAUGCUACUAUUUACCAUCUUUAAUAAUGUAUUAUGUAAUAUUGUAUUUUACAGUCAUGAUGAGGAAAUACAAGUAACAUUUCAGUUAAUUAAAAAAAUUUUGCUUCUAAAUUUGUACAACACUUGUAAACUAUUUACAAAGUGUAUUUUUCCUACUAUGAGAAAUUAUGUUACAUUAGCAGAAUAAGUUUAUAAUCUAUAAAGUGCAACUAAUUAUAGCACUAAAAUCAUAAAGAUUGAGGCUUUUUUUAAAAAAAAAAUCAAUUCUUCCACUAAACUUUAGCAACUUUGUUGACUCAUCUGUAAAUAGAAUUUGUUAUUUUAUUGUUGUAUAUUAUUUUGUUUCAAAGAAAUAAAAAUUUAUUUAAGUAACGUUGUA
rnacentral:lncRNA from 1 species